GCGCCAUGGGCGAGCCUGACGCAGCAACGCCGCGUGAGGGAUGAAGGCCUUCGGGUUGUAAACCUCUUUCGACCGGGACGAAAAUGACGGGACCCUGCGAAGAAACCCCGGGUAACUUCCUGCCCGCCGCCCC
rnacentral:rRNA from 1 species